GGGCAUGUAGGACACAAGAGAAGAGACACAUUG
rnacentral:sRNA from 1 species